GAACGCUGGCGGCGUGCUUAACACAUGCAAGUCGAACGGAAAGGCCCCUUCGGGGGUACUCGAGUGGCGAACGGGUGAGUAACACGUGGGUGAUCUGCCCUGCACUUUGGGAUAAGCCUGGGAAACUGGGUCUAAUACCGAAUAGGACCGCAUGCUGCAUGGUGUGUGGUGGAAAGCUUUUGCGGUGUGGGAUGGGCCCGCGGCCUAUCAGCUUGUUGGUGGGGUAAUGGCCUACCAAGGCGACGACGGGUAGCCGGCCUGAGAGGGUGUCCGGCCACACUGGGACUGAGAUACGGCCCAGACUCCUACGGGAGGCAGCAGUGGGGAAUAUUGCACAAUGGGCGCAAGCCUGAUGCAGCGACGCCGCGUGGGGGAUGACGGCCUUCGGGUUGUAAACCUCUUUCAGUAUCGGCGAAGCUCCAAGGUUUUCUUUGGGGUGACGGUAGGUACAGAAGAAGCACCGGCCAACUACGUGCCAGCAGCCGCGGGUAAUAC
rnacentral:rRNA from 1 species